rnacentral:rRNA from 1 species
AAGUCGAGCGAAGCGCUUACUUGGAUUUCUUCGGAAUGACGAGUAUUGUGACUGAGCGGCGGACGGGUGAGUAACGCGUGGGUAACCUGCCUCAUACAGGGGGAUAACAGUUAGAAAUGACUGCUAAUACCGCAUAAGACCACAGCACCGCAUGGUGCAGGGGUAAAAACUCCGGUGGUAUGAGAUGGACCCGCGUCUGAUUAGCUGGUUGGUGGGGUAACGGCCUACCAAGGCGACGAUCAGUAGCCGGCCUGAGAGGGCGACCGGCCACAUUGGGACUGAGACACGGCCCAAACUCCUACGGGAGGCAGCAGUGGGGAAUAUUGCACAAUGGGGGAAACCCUGAUGCAGCGACGCCGCGUGAAGGAAGAAGUAUUUCGGUAUGUAAACUUCUAUCAGCAGGGAAGAAAAUGACGGUACCUGACUAAGAAGCCCCGGCUAACUACGUGCCAGCAGCCGCGGUAAUACGUAGGGGGCAAGCGUUAUCCGGAUUUACUGGGUGUAAAGGGAGCGUAGACGGAGAGGCAAGUCUGAUGUGAAAACCCGGGGCUCAACCCCGGGACUGCAUUGGAAACUGUUUUUCUAGAGUGUCGGAGAGGUAAGCGGAAUUCCUAGUGUAGCGGUGAAAUGCGUAGAUAUUAGGAGGAACACCAGUGGCGAAGGCGGCUUACUGGACGAUGACUGACGUUGAGGCUCGAAAGCGUGGGGAGCAAAC